UGGUGCCUCCUCUGACUAAUUUCUCACUGAUUUCCAUAUGUGAUGGACAACAUCCACCCACCAGAGGACUUUUAUUAUGACAUGACACAUCUGCCAGGGGGUUUAAUUCCAGAGAGGAAUCAGUGCUGUCCCUACUGGCCAUGAUUGAAGGGCUCAUUAUAAUGUCCUCUGUAAUGGUCUCGUGUUGGAUGUAAUGAGCAGUAUUGGUUAGAGGUUGGUUUUCUAGCUUAGAUAAUUUGUCCUGCUGUUGUUGUGACUUGUUUGUAUGUUUGUUUAUUAAACAGGUGCCCUGAAAUCAUACCUCAGAGAGCUUCCAGAGCCACUGAUGACCUUUGAACUCUAUGAGGAAUGGAUCCAAGCAUCUAACAUCCAGGACCAGGAUAAGAGGCUCCAGGCUCUGCUCUCUGCCUGUGAGAAACUGCCUAUAGCCAACAGCAACAA